rnacentral:pre_miRNA from 17 species
AUCGACAACAGAAUAACCUUUCAGACCCUGGAAAUCAAGCUUGGGUGAGGCCUAUGACGUACAAAACAGGCGACCCAUACUUGGUUUCCGAGGCUGUGGGUGAUGAUCUUUGAGUGAACA